rnacentral:rRNA from 1 species
UGGGGAAUAUUGGGCAAUGGGCGCAAGCCUGACCCAGCAACGCCGCGUGAGGGAAGAAGGUCUUCGGAUUGUAAACCUCUGUCCUUGGGGACGAAAAAAAUGACGGUACCCAAGGAGGAAGCUCCGGCUAACUACGUGCCAGCAGCCGCGGUAAUACGUAGGGAGCGAGCGUUGUCCGGAAUUACUGGGCGUAAAGGGUGCGUAGGCGGCAUGGCAAGUCAGAUGUGAAAUCCCCGGGCUUAACUCGGGUGGUGCAUUUGAAACUGCUGAGCUUGAGUGCAGGAGAGGAAAGCGGAAUUCCUAGUGUAGCGGUGAAAUGCGUAGAUAUUAGGAAGAACACCAGUGGCGAAGGCGGCUUUCUGGACUGUAACUGACGCUGAGGCACGAAAGCGUGGGGAGCAAACA